UUUGUACUUCCUCCGUCCCAAAAUUCUUGUCUUGGAUCUGUCUAAAUACGGAUGUAUCAAGUCACGUUUUAGUAUUAAAUACAUCUGUAUCUAGGCAAAUCUAUGACAAGAAUUUUAGGAUAGAGGGAGUACUAU
rfam:Triticum aestivum genome assembly, contig: Triticum_aestivum_CS42_TGACv1_scaffold_423395_5BS